rnacentral:rRNA from 1 species
GACAGAGGGUGCAACCGUUGCUCGGAAUCACUGGGCGUAAAGGGCGUGUAGGCGGGCAGGAAAGUCGGGCGUGAAAUCCCUGGGCUCAACCCAGGAACUGCACUCGAAACUUCUUUUCUUGAGUGCCGGAGAGGAAAGCGGAAUUCCUGGUGUAGAGGUGAAAUUCGUAGAUAUCAGGAGGAACACCAGUGGCGAAGGCGGCUUUCUGGACGGUAACUGACGCUGAGACGCGAAAGCGUGGGGAGCAAACAGG